rnacentral:tRNA from 1 species
UCUCGAUUGGUCUAGUGGUCAGGAUACCUGCUUGUCAUAUAUGAACAAGUUCGCAGGUGGCCGGGGUUCGAUUCCCCGAUCGAGAG